GACGAACGCUGGCGGCGUGCUUAACACAUGCAAGUCGAACGGGAGUAUCGAAGAAGCUUGCUUUUAAGAUACUUUAGUGGCGGACGGGUGAGUAACGCGUGAGGAGCUGUCCUAUGCAGGGGGACAACAGUUGGAAACGACUGCUAAUACCCCAUAAGCCGAGAGGUAAAAGGAUUUAUCCGGCAAAGGAGGUACUCGCGUCCUAUCAGCUAGUAGGUGAGGUAACGGCUCACCUAGGCGAAGACGGGUAGCCGGCCUGAGAGGGCGAACGGCCACACUGGAACUGAGAUACGGCCCAGACUCCUACGGGAGGCAGCAGUGGGGAAUAUUGGGCAAUGGGGGCAACCCUGACCCAGCGACGCCGCGUGGGUGAAGAAAUCCUUCGGGAUGUAAAGCCCUGUUGUAUGGGAAGAGCAGAAGACGGUACCAUACGAGGAAGCCCCGGCAAACUACGUGCCAGCAGCCGCAGUAA
rnacentral:rRNA from 1 species